GGUGCUGACGAGUGGCGAACGGGUGAGUAAUACAUCGGAACGUGCCCGAUCGUGGGGGAUAACGCAGCGAAAGCUGUGCUAAUACCGCAUACGAUCUACGGAUGAAAGCGGGGGAUCGCAAGACCUCGCGCGGACGGAGCGGCCGAUGGCAGUAUUAGGUAGUUGGUGGGGUAAAGGCCUACCAAGCCGACGAUCUGUAGCUGGUCUGAGAGGACGACNAGGNCACACUGGGACUGAGACACGGCCCAGACUCCNACGGGAGGCAGCAGUGGGGAAUUUUGGACAAUGGGCGCAAGCCUGAUCCAGCCAUGCCGCGUGCAGUNAUAGAAGGCCUUCGGGUUGNAAACUGCGNUUNGUACGGAAUCGAUAAAGCCAGUGUUCUUUUAAUCACAGUGNAACUCGAUGACGGUACNGUANGAAUAAGCUACCGGCUAACUACGUGGANCAGCAUGCCNCGGUAAUACGUAGGGUNCGAGCGUCUAAUCGGACAUNACUGGGCGUCANANCNUGCGCAGGCGGUGAUGUAAGNCAGANGUGAAGAUCCCCGGGCUCAACCUGGGAACUGCCUUUGUGACUGCAUCNNNUGGAGUGCGGCANAGGGGGAUGGAAUUNCGCGUGU
rnacentral:rRNA from 1 species